AGGGAUUGUUUGGUCAACAAGCAGAAUGAUUAGUAUUCCAUUACUCUUGGUAGCACAUGAAAUGAGGCUUUUUCCAUUUGGGACAAAAAGAAAAUGUCUACAUUUGCAAAAUCAAAUUUAGUUUCAAUAAGGGGGGGUUCAGUCAAUGCCAUAUGGUGCUAUUUCAAUUUGAAGGAGUAACAUGUGUUCUAACCCACAGAAAAUUUCCCAACUUCAUUCUAUAUUAAUUGUCAAAAACCCACAUGUUUUGCAGCCAAAAAUAUCCAAUCUAAUAUUUGCCAAAAAGAACUCAUUUGUUAACAGCAUGAUAAAUUCUGAUAGUUGAGUUGUCCACAAAUUUACAGAUUGCUUGGAGAUACCAUAAAACGGUGAGGCUGAAUUUUAGGCCAUAAAAAUUAUUAAAUUUCAGCUUAAUGUCCAUUCUAGUUAUAUAAUAAUAAAUACAUAGCAAAUUUCUUUCAGAUGCUCAGAAACAGAAGUUUGUGUACAUGCAAAGGAAGAAUUAAAUAAAACAACCCACCUGAGGGUGCCUCGUGAUCCUCAU
rnacentral:misc_RNA from 1 species